AUUUGAAAAUAACUAAAGUAUGAUGCAGGUCGAAGCUUGUAUUCUUCGUAAAAAUCUACAAAUUUAACAUAACUGCUAAUAAUAUAAUUCCUUUUCACUUUAAAACAGUAAAUUUCAAUAACUCAAAUUUAUUACAAUUUGCUGCUUAAAUAAAAACGAACUUUUAGUAACAAAAUUGGUACUCUAUUCUGAGACGUUUCGUUUUAGAUAGUUUUGAAUAAUUUUAACAGUUGUUCACUUAUCGAACUAUGCCUGUGAACGAAUACUUUAAUUAAAUUUAGAUGGACGUGG
rnacentral:sRNA from 1 species